rnacentral:rRNA from 1 species
GUUGUAUAGUCAAGUAAUUAAGUGCAUGUGGUGGAUGCCUUGGCAGUCAGAGGCGAUGAAAGACGUAAUAGCCUGCGAUAAGCUCCGGGGAGGCGG